AACUCUGGUAUUGAUUGGUGCUUGCAUCAUGAUUUACAUUUGAGUGAGUGGCGAACUGGUGAGUAACACGUGGGAAACCUGCCCAGAAGCGGGGGAUAACACCUGGAAACAGAUGCUAAUACCGCAUAACAACUUGGACCGCAUGGUCCGAGCUUGAAAGAUGGCUUCGGCUAUCACUUUUGGAUGGUCCCGCGGCGUAUUAGCUAGAUGGUGGGGUAACGGCUCACCAUGGCAAUGAUACGUAGCCGACCUGAGAGGGUAAUCGGCCACAUUGGGACUGAGACACGGCCCAAACUCCUACGGGAGGCAGCAGUAGGGAAUCUUCCACAAUGGACGAAAGUCUGAUGGAGCAACGCCGCGUGAGUGAAGAAGGGUUUCGGCUCGUAAAACUCUGUUGUUAAAGAAGAACAUAUCUGAGAGUAACUGUUCAGGUAUUGACGGUAUUUAACCAGAAAGCCACGGCUAACUACGUGCCAGCAGCCGCGGUAAUACGUAGGUGGCAAGCGUUGUCCGGAUUUAUUGGGCGUAAAGCGAGCGCAGGCGGUUUUUUAAGUCUGAUGUGAAAGCCUUCGGCUCAACCGAAGAAGUGCAUCGGAAACUGGGAAACUUGAGUGCAGAAGAGGACAGUGGAACUCCAUGUGUAGCGGUGAAAUGCGUAGAUAUAUGGAAGAACACCAGUGGCGAAGGCGGCUGUCUGGUCUGUAACUGACGCUGAGGCUCGAAAGUAUGGGUAGCAAACAGGAUUAGAUACCCUGGUAGUCCAUACCGUAAACGAUGAAUGCUAAGUGUUGGAGGGUUUCCGCCCUUCAGUGCUGCAGCUAACGCAUUAAGCAUUCCGCCUGGGGAGUACGGCCGCAAGGCUGAAACUCAAAGGAAUUGACGGGGGCCCGCACAAGCGGUGGAGCAUGUGGUUUAAUUCGAAGCUACGCGAA
rnacentral:rRNA from 2 species